CAGGACUCCCGCUUCCAACCACUCAACCUCCAGCGGCCUGUGCACCAUGUAGUGCCCCCCAGCACGGUGACUGAGGACUACCUGAGAAGCUUCCGGCCCUACCACACUGCUGAGGACCUACGGAUGUCCUCCUUGCCUCCACUUGGCCUGGACCCAGCCACCGCCGCGGCCUACUACCACCCCAGCUACCUGACCCCGCACCCAUUCCCGCACCCGGCCUUCAGGAUGGACGACUCCUAUUGCCUGUCAGCCUUAAGGUCUCCGUUCUACCCCAUCCCCACCCCGGGCUCCCUGCCUCCGCUGCACCCGUCGGCUAUGCACCUGCAUCUCUCUGGCGUACGGUACCCUCCUGAGCUCUCACACUCCUCCCUGGCAGCGCUACACUCGGAGCGGAUAUCCAGCCUCAGCGCAGAGAGGUUGCAAAUGGAUGAGGAGCUGAGGCGGGAGAGAGAGCGGGAGCGUGAACGGGAACGGGAGGCCGACCGAG
rnacentral:lncRNA from 1 species